ensembl:lncRNA
GCAUUUAGUAUGGAGGCGAUUCAAGAAUGGGUCAAACAAUCAAAGGGAAUUGUGCCUAAUGUGGCUUGUAGCUUCUGCCUUGUGGUCUUGGAGAAGAUUCUGGAGCUGGAGGUUCGGUGUCCCUGCAAUUAUAUAUAUAAAAUGUUCUUUACGAUUGCAUUCUUUAUCAUUCCUGCCCUGUUAUCAUUCUUGCUGAUGCUACAAGUUCAAGGAUCUAGGGGUAACAUAGUAAAAUGGAAGGCUUACUUGUCAAGCCUCAUUCCUUCGUUGGUGUGGUGGAUCGUACUGUUCUUUGAUGGCAGAUACGUUGCUUAUGCCAUGACAAAAUUAAAUGAAACAGGGGUCAUUCGUAAUGAAGAUUUUUCUGUGAAAAUGUGUGACGAAGCAGGGAAAGAUCAACAUCAGAAUUUCCUUUUUUGGGAAAUCUGUUCUCAGGGCAUUGGUAUGGCUCUGCUCUUGGUCGCCUGUGGGGCAGUUAUAGUAUCCAUAUGCAACAACUACACCUGGGAUUUAGGAGAAGUCAGUGAUGACGUUACAGAAAGAAGAAGAGGCAUCGGAAGCAGUGUAAGAACAGGAGGAGGAGGACGAGGAGGAAGAGGUGGAGGAGGACUAGGAGGAAGAGGAGGAGAAGGAACAGAAGCAGCACAGGCAUCAGAAGCAGGAGGAGGAGCAGGAGCAGGAGGAGGAGGAGGAGGAGGAACAGGAGCAGAAGCAGCACAGGCAUCAGAAGCAAGAGGAGGAGCAGGAGGAGUACAGGCAUUAGAAGCAGGAGGAGGAGCAGCAGAAGAAGAAGCAGUACAGGCAUCAGAAGCAGGAGGACGAGGAGGAGGAGGAGCAGGAGCAGGAGGAGUACAGGCAUUAGAAGCUGGAGGAGCAGGAGAAGGAGGAGUACAGGCAUUAGAAGCAGGAGGAGGAGGAGGAGCAGGAGGAGUACAGGCAUUAGAAGCAGGAGGACGAGGAGCAGGUGCAGAAGCAGUACAGGCAUCAGAAGCAGGAGGAGGAGCAGGAGAAUCAGAAGCAGGAGGAGGAGAAGGAAGAGGAGCAGAAGAAGUAGAUGCUUUGCUUCCAGAAAUUUGACGUCACCCCAUUGAAGUUAUGAAUUAAAAAGGAUUCAGGUUAGGUUUAGGGUUUAGGGUGGGGUUGAAGAAGCUGUUGAGAUGGUACGCAGGCCCAGAAAUGGAUAAAAAUGUGCUGUAUAAAAUUACAUUGGUAAAAAUGGUAUGUUUGUUUUUUUCUUCUUCACACAAUCAAUAAGUAACCAAUUUAUAACGUUUUUAUUUCUGAGUGUGGAGAUUAAGGAGUGUUUUCUCUGACACAGAUUAAGCCUAGUCCUGGACUAAAAAACACGUUUAUUAGCGAGUCUCCAUUGAAAUGCUUUUUAGUCCAGGAUUAAGGUGUAUCCGUGUCCACAAAAGCGACACUAAGGCUGAGUUUACAAAGGAAGACCAACUCUGAUCUUUUGACAAUUAUUUGUUCUAUUUAAUACAGUACAUACAGUAUCUGAUGUUUUUUUUCCAGUGAGUAAAAAACAACAACAUAAAACACAUUGAAUCUGAUCUUUUGAGUUCUGGUUUGUACCACAUUUGUAUGUGGUUUCCAAUCAAUUCUGAUCCAUCAUGCAACAGUCUGGACGCUGAUUUCUUCCACAUGACCUGCAGUUGCCAAAACAACCACCCCAAAAUGUAAUGGAACAAUGACAGAAAAUGGACUGAAAAAACCCAUCUGAAUUGGGUUCCUACGUCCCUGCCACAUUACAGCCGUCGGUCGUCCUGCACUAUCAUCAGCCAUCAGCCAUUGAGGGAAUGCUUCCUUUGCAAUCAAUGAAAGCUACUGACAAGAGUAGUAGCUUAAGCCUCAGCUCUCUGUGACAUUGUAGAGACACAACUUGCAGAUACCCACGCACACUCAUGAAGAAGUUUCACUUUCACACGCAGAGCACAAAGAAGAAUGAACAUUGAGAGGGAAUUGGCAUUGAUUAAAGAAAAUAAGAAAUUAUUGGGAGUGGAAUUUGUUAAAAUAAUGAUUGAAGGUUAAAGGUUGGAAACGGGAAAAUAUACAGUCUGCAAUAUCCUGCUUAAAUUUGUCCACUUUGCCAAUGAAAUAAUCAAUAAAAUAAUUGGCAACAUCAAAUGGUUUUGUGAUGAAUAAGCCAUCUGAUUCGACGAAAGAUGGAGUUGAAUUUGUC